CACGGGGGUUGCGAGCGUUGUCCGGAAUUACUAGGCGUAAAGGGCAGGCAGGCGGAUCCAUAAGUUUAUCGUUUAAGGCGUCGGCUUAACCGGCGUAGGGCGGUAGAUACUGUGGAUCUGGAAUGCGGUUGGGGAAGACAGAAUUCCUGGUGUAGCGGUGGAAUGCGCAGAGAUCAGGAGGAAUACCGAAGGCGAAGGCAGUCUUCCAAGCUGUUAUUGACGCUCAACUGCGAAGGUGUGGGUAUCAAACAGGAUUAGAUACCCGCGUAGUCCCUGA
rnacentral:rRNA from 1 species